CUCAGCCACAUGGCACUCUAGAAUCUGCUCUGCUCCUGACUGUGGUUUUGAGGGAGUGAUAAAUUGGAUGUUGGUGCAAGAAUAAAUGUGUGUAUACACUAGGGGGCACCAGAGAACAUGAGGAAGUAGACACAUCUGAUCAAGACACACUGAUCAUGAAGUUGGAAGCAAGAUGAUCCAUUGUUGGGAGCCUGCCGUAUUACCCAUGAGAAUAUAGCCACAAGAUGGCGUCCGCCUACCGCCUCGCUGCUCCCCUGCCCAUCGUGUGCCCAAGAUGGCGCACACAUCCUGCUUCCUGGUUCUUGCUCGGCUUACUGUCCCCGCCAUAUAUGGUAAUGAUUGAUUGCUUCCUUGUUGCCGCCCAAUCGCCUGUCCCCACGUGUAAUCCCAUGAUUGGAUAACAUUAGCUAUAUAAGCCCAAGUAUAGGAAGUGCCCGACGCACAACACGGAAGAAGCCGUCGAGGACGGACAUGUAUUGAGGUUGCUGCCCAGUCAAUAAAGGUGCUUGCAGAGGCUGA